GGGUCAGUAGGUUGGUCGUGCCACCGGUACGUACUGGUCUCACUGAUUCCUCCUUCCUGAAGAACCGUAAUGCCAUUAAUUUGGUGUUGCGGGGAAACAGGACUGUUAUUUUGAAAAAAUUUGAGUGUUUAAAGCAAGCUAACGCUUGAAUACAUUAGCAUGGAAUAAUGAAAUAGGACGAUCGAUCCUAUUUUGUUGGUUUCUAGGAUUGACGUA
rnacentral:rRNA from 1 species